AGAGUUUGAUCCUGGCUCAGGAUGAACGCUGACAGAAUGCUUAACACAUGCAAGUCGAUGGGGAAGCGGCGCUUGCGCCGUGGCAACCAUGGCGGACGGGUGAGUAACGCGUAAAGAACUUGCCGGAUGGACCGGGAUAACAGCUGGAAACGGCUGGCAAGACCGGAUACUGUGGGCUGGCCGCAUGGCUGGCCCAUGAAAAGGGAUGCCGUCCGAGAGCUUUGCGUCCUAUUAGCUGGUUGGUAAGGUGACGGCUUACCAAGGCGAUGAUAGGUAGCCGGCCUGAGAGGGUGGACGGCCACAAGGGGACUGAGAUACGGCCCUUACUCCUACGGGAGGCAGCAGUGGGGAAUAUUGGACAAUGGGGGCAACCCUGAUCCAGCAAUUCUGUGUGCACGAAGAAGGUUUUCGGAUCGUAAAGUGCUUUCAGCAGGGAGGAAGGAAGUGACUGUACCUGCAGAAGAAGCGACGGCUAAAUACGUGCCAGCAGCCGCGGUAAUACGUAUGUCGCGAGCGUUAUCCGGAAUUAUUGGGCAUAAAGGGCAUCUAGGCGGCCGGGUAAGUCCGGGGUGAAAACUGCUGGCUCAACCAGCAGCCUGCCUUGGAAACUACCCGGCUUGAGUGCUGGAGAGGUGGACGGAACUGCACGAGUAGAGGUGAAAUUCGUAGAUAUGUGCAGGAAUGCCGAUGAUGAAGAUAGUUCACUGGACGGUAACUGACGCUGAAGUGCGAAAGCUAGGGGAGCAAACAGGAUUAGAUACCCUGGUAGUCCUAGCUGUAAACGAUGAUUACUGGGUGUGGGCAUGAAGAGUGUCCGUGCCGAAGCUAAUGCGAUAAGUAAUCCGCCUGGGGAGUACGGCCGCAAGGCUGAAACUCAAAGGAAUUGACGGGGACCCGCACAAGCGGUGGAGCAUGU
rnacentral:rRNA from 1 species